rnacentral:rRNA from 1 species
GGAAGGGCAACAAUUGAGUCCCCUACCUCACCGGUCAGCUCAGCAGGCGCCCGAUUCGCGCCGCCCUCCCCCUUCGCUCGCGCCCGACUUCUGUCGCCGUUCGCCGCCGCAGAGCGCAUACACCGCGGCGCGCCCCGAGUGGAUGUGGUGGGAGGAGGUGAGGAGGAGGGAACGCGGGGAGCUGCGCCCGCGGCGCUUCGAGGCCCUCGCCCGCUCGCGCCGCGCUGCCUCGCUCGCGCUCUCCAACCGCAAGGAGAUCGCGACCCCGCACCUCGGCGCCGUCAACUCCCUCCAGAGGGGAGGUACCUGCUCUCGGGGGCGUCGGACGGAUCGGCCGCCGUCUUCGAUCUCAAGGACGCGACGGAGUACGAGGCCGGGUUCAUAGCCAAGCACAGGAGCAUUCUGCUCGUGGACAGGCAGCAUCAGCAUGGCCACAAGUUCACCGUCUCCAAGGCCAUCUGGUAUCCUGUGGACACCGGGCUGUUCGUCACGGCCUCCUUCGAUAACUAUGUCAAAGUGUGGGAUACCAAUUCCAGUCAAGUGGUCAUGGAUUUUAAGAUGCCCGGAAAAGUGUACAGUGCUGCAAUGUCCCCAAUUGCAACAACGCAUAUGCUCAUCGCAACCGGAAGCGCAGACGUUCAGGUCCGUUUGUGUGAUAUUGCUUCCGGAGCCUUUACUCACACGUUGUCCGGUCAUCUUGAUGGUAUCAUGUCUUUGGAGUGGUCUACCUCAAGCGAGUGGAUCCUAAUGAGUGGUGGCUGCGACGGGGCGAUACGUUUUUGGGACAUAAGACGAGCUGGAUGCUUCCUUGUCCUUGAUCAGUUACGGUCUCAGCUAGGAAGACGGCCUCCCAUUAUUGAUAGCACCACGGACAACGUAUGCUUGCCGUCAUCCUUUACUUUUAUCUGCUUCUGGGUUUGGUUAUUUCUUCAGAUUAUAUUUGCUCGCAGGGCUAAUACAGAACUGCUUGCUAUUAUUCUGGCUACUAUUCCAAAACUGUUAGGUCUCCAAGUAGGAGUGGAUUUUUCCUGCAAGAAAAGGGUACAAGCGGAUAUCUGGUAUAUAUUCAUGUCCUAGGCCUAUGUCAUUGUUUUAGCAUCAUCAUAUAUAUAUGGUAUGGAUCAGUGUAGUGCUCUAGUUCUUAAAAGAUGGGAUCUGCAUUUCAUUGGGAGAUAAUCAAUGCUGCUCUACACAAGGUUCCUUCCUGCUGUUUAUUGUUGUGUCCUGAAAAAAUGGUUGAUGUCAUGCAAGUACAAUGGGAGAUAAUUAAUAUUAUUAGGUUCUUGUGUUGUUCAUUGUUGUGUCCGAAAGAUGGUUGAUGACGUGCAAGUACAUCUGCUAGUUGACAUCUUCAAUGCAUAUAUAUUUUUCGUCUUAAGCAGCAUCAGAAGAACUUAGGACGUUCAUCUUCAUCAAAGAGUUACUCAGUUCAGCAGAGGACAGGCAAUCAUAAGAAGCAGUCCAAAGCACUACGCAAAAGUCUAACCAUGGUACGUGGACAUACGCAACAGAAAGUGCAUCCCGGUAUGUCAUCCAGUCAAAAUCAUAAAACAGCUCAUUAUGGUGCUGUUACAGGAUUAAGAACAACAACAGAUGGGAUGCACCUUCUUAGCUCAGGAUCUGAUUCUCGUUUAAGACUCUGGGAUAUCGAUUCAGGCUGCAAUACUUUGGUCAAUUUUGAAGCCAUGCGAUUGCAAACUAGCAAGCCACUACAAUUAGCUGUCACUGAUGAUCCAUCACUUGUUUUCAUUCCAUGCAUGUCAAGCAUCAAGGCAUACAAUACAUGGUCUGGUACGACAUUUCAAACAUUCCGUGGGCAUUAUGACCAUGUAAAUUGCUGCUACUAUAACUCACAAGACCAAGAACUCUAUACUGGUAGCAAUGAUCGACAAAUUCUUGUGUGGUCUCCAUCGACUCCUGCUUUGACUGAAAUGGAAGACGAUGACAAGCGGCAAGAGGGUUUUGCAGCUGAUGAGGAUAACUGGAGUGACUAAGAACUUAUGAGUUUUUUGAGGGAGAGAACUUAUGAGUUGAGCAUGUGUAUAUACAAGGUUACUAACAAUAUUGACACAAGUGAUGCCGAAAUAAAAUCAGGGGUCUUAUUAGGUAUUACACGAACCAGUAAUUACUUGUGUUUGGUUACCACUCUGAGAGGAUGUUGUACAUUAGAAUUUGAAUUUUUUGUAGUUCAUUGAAACUUAUGUAUUCAGACAUCAUCACAAAAAGAGGAGAGUACUAUGUAUGGUUCACCCAACUGUUAUUUAUGUACCUUUUUCUUGCU